ensembl:snoRNA
UGUUACUGGUGCUUACCAUAGGCUGUGUUGUGACUCUGAUCAUACAGAAAGAAGAAGCAGAGUAAACCUGCCCACGUACACCUCAGCCCUAGCCCUGUGCCGGCAUUGUGAAUGGGGGGACAUGG